UGCUUGCACAUCGCUGACGAGUGGCGGACGGGUGAGUAAUGCUUGGGAACUUGCCUUUGCAAGGGGGAUACAGUUGGAAACGACUGCUAAUACCGCAUAAUGUCUACGGACCAAACGGGGCUUUUAGCUCCGGCGCAAAGAGAGGCCCAAGUGAGAUUAGCUAGUUGGUAAGGUAACGGCUUACCAAGGCGACGAUCUCUAGCUGUUCUGAGAGGAAGAUCAGCCACACUGGGACUGAGACACGGCCCAGACUCCUACGGGAGGCAGCAGUGGGGAAUAUUGCACAAUGGGGGAAACCCUGAUGCAGCCAUGCCGCGUGUGUGAAGAAGGCCUUCGGGUUGUAAAGCACUUUCAGUUGUGAGGAAAAGUUAGUAGUUAAUACCUGCUAGCCGUGACGUUAACAACAGAAGAAGCACCGGCUAACUCCGUGCCAGCAGCCGCGGUAAUACGGAGGGUGCGAGCGUUAAUCGGAAUUACUGGGCGUAAAGCGCACGCAGGCGGUUUGUUAAGCUAGAUGUGAAAGCCCCGGGCUCAACCUGGGAUGGUCAUUUAGAACUGGCAGACUAGAGUCUUGGAGAGGGGAGUGGAAUUCCAGGUGUAGCGGUGAAAUGCGUAGAUAUCUGGAGGAACAUCAGUGGCGAAGGCGACUCCCUGGCCAAAGACUGACGCUCAUGUGCGAAAGUGUGGGUAGCGAACAGGAUUAGAUACCCUG
rnacentral:rRNA from 1 species